CUUUAUUCGUAAACAGUAAAGUGACAUAACUAAAAUGGGUAUGAAAUAGGUUAGUUCAUUUAGAGGGUUAAGCGGCAUCUGAUGUAACAUGUCACAGUAGAUUUUUGGUGCAAAGUAUAUAAUUAAAGUAUGUUUUAAGUUUGAGUUAAGCGAGAUUUAUCUAUUUGUAAAAUCUAGAUUUGAUACGUGAAUAUACAUGGCGACACGACACUAGUUGGGACAAGUGUCAUUCUUGGGGAUGAAUGAACAUUGAGAGUUUGCCCUCAUAAUAAAUAAUUUCGACCCGACAGCUCCUUUCUUGAGAGAUGGAAGCAGUGUCUCGGUGAAGCACUCCAAGGCGGCUUCGGGGAUCCGUUGAUAAAGCUAUAAUUCAGAGUCUUGCUUGGUUUUCAACCGCCUAUGAAGUAUUUGCAAUAGCUCUGAUGAAUGCAAGAAAGGAAAGAAAAUUAUACAAGCAUAUCAGAGGAAGCCAACUGCUAUGUUAUUCAAACUCCAUGCCAAAUGGAAAAAGAAUCAAUCAAACAAGAAACAAGGAAGGAAAGACAAAUCAAUCAGACGAGCUAAAGAUUCUCAAGCAUGCAACGAAGGAAAGAGAGCCAAUCAAGGAAACUCUGGGAAAACUCUAAACAAGGUUAAUUGGAGGAGCCAAAACUUCAAACUGAGAAUAAAUCUGGCCACAUAUCUCAAGCUAGAUUCAUGAGGUUAACCUUGUGUCCUAUUCUUAGAAGACUAUGCCUCAUAAGGAAACACCUCCAAUUAAUGAUCUUUUGCGAUCCCAGAAAAGAGAAAUCAAAAGACUCAUCGAGCACUAUUAAAGAAGAAGUAGAAGGACAAGGAGGCUCACGCAACUUAACAUACAUUUCUACACCUUUCUAGUUCUUAGUACAAACACUGUAUUUUUGAGUCUACAAAUAUCGCAAAGGAUAGGAAAAGUUAGAAAAUAAAACAAGAUUUGUAUCAACACUAGAUAAACAUUGUUGUUGAA